AAAAUCGACGAUUUUCCAGAAAUCACUGUAUAAACACGGCUUGCACAAAUUCUAAUCGUUAUAUUCGAAGAAUUACAGAUUAUUUUAGAUUCAUUGCGUUUGGACCGAAAAUCGACGAUUUUGCGAGUAAGGGUACUUCCUUAAGAAAUUACUGUA
rnacentral:lncRNA from 1 species